GAUGAACGCUGGCGGCGUGCCUAAUACGUGCAAGUCGAGCGAACAGAUGAGGAGCUUGCUCCUCUGACGUUAGCGGCGGACGGGUGAGUAACACGUGGAUAACCUACCUAUAAGACUGGGAUAACUUCGGGAAACCGGAGCUAAUACCGGAUAAUAUAUUGAACCGCAUGGUUCAAUAGUGAAAGACGGUUUUGCUGUCACUUAUAGAUGGAUCCGCGCCGCAUUAGCUAGUUGGUAAGGUAACGGCUUACCAAGGCAACGAUGCGUAGCCGACCUGAGAGGGUGAUCGGCCACACUGGAACUGAGACACGGUCCAGACUCCUACGGGAGGCGGCAGUAGGGAAUCUUCCGCAAUGGGCGAAAGCCUGACGGAGCAACGCCGCGUGAGUGAUGAAGGUCUUCGGAUCGUAAAACUCUGUUAUUAGGGAAGAACAAAUGUGUAAGUAACUAUGCACGUCUUGACGGUACCUAAUCAGAAAGCCACGGCUAACUACGUG
rnacentral:rRNA from 1 species